GGGGUUGUGGCUCAGUGGUAAAGCACUUGCCUAGCAUGCGUGAGGCACUGGGUUCAAUUCCCAGCACCA
rnacentral:tRNA from 1 species